GCACAAGUGUAGUGAUUGUCAUUGAUUUCUUUCCACAUGAUAACCUAAAUGCGAAAGCUUAUAAUAUUAUUCAAGCACUUCCAAGUUCCAUCAUGACAUGUUUGGUGAGGUGCGGAGUGUUUUUAUACCUUUUUGCACGCUUCCACCAAAAUUCCAAGUGCUCUUCAUAGGCCAGAGAGAGCAGAGAGCCCGCUAAAGGAAGAAAGAACAAGAGGAGAACUAUGAGCAAACACAACACCUUCUUCCUACAGUGCAACUUCCUCAUCGUCUUCUUCGUCCUUCACCUACUUGUCUCAUACUCUAGGACGACGUACGCAGACACAGCCACGUGCAAUGGCUCGAUAGCGGAGUGCCACGAGCUCGCCACGGAGUUCGUGUUUGAUUCCGCGGUGAGCAGAAGGUUCAUGGCGGAAUCGCGGCACCUGUCGUAUGGGGCUCUCAGGAAGGACCAGCCAACCUGCGGCGGUGGGGCCAGAGGCCAAGCUUACAGCAAGAGUGAUGGCUGUGGCCUCCCUUCCCAGUCGAAUCCCCAUAGCCCCGGUUGCUCCAAAUACUACCGUUGUAGGUCGGAUUCGUAAGUUUGGUCGUCCUCGUUUUCAUAAAUGUUACGUUCUGCAAUAUUUUCAAUAAAUUCCGUGGUAUAUGCACCCUUCGAAAUGGUAUAUGCAAAGUAAUUAAUGUUGAACAAUUGAUGAAAGGAUCAAUAUGAGGUUAACUCGCUUCCCUUAACUUUAGUUUCUGUGUUCUCCCUGUGCUGAGGAGCAAAGCUCAAGUUAGUAUAAUUUUUCUUUUGGGGCAACCAAUGUAAAUGACUUGCAAUAACAGCUGAUCGGAAGAAAGUAUCAAUUCCGAUCAUUCUAUAUGGGAAAAUUCUCUGAUGCCGCCAUGGGUAUUGUGAUUCCGCUUAACACCUGUUGAAUCGCCCAGAAAGAAAGAAGGAACGUGAGAGAGAAGAGGAACAAUCCGAUCAGUGGAGCUGUGGCGACUCUAUGCCUUAAUUGUACCGUAGAAGUUCCCCGCUCUGAUAUUUUCUAGCCAAACACAUUAAUCAAUCUCGCAAAAGAGAGAUAGAGGAGGAAUACGCGCGCCUCAACAUCAUAUUUGGUUGUGAGCCCUACAUCCUCCGAAAUUGGCGCUUGUUGAAGCUUCAAGUGGUUGACCCACGUGCACGUGGUCCAUUCAGCUUGCUCCAAAGAGGGUAAUGCUUUUAGCACCAGUUGACUAUAAAAUUACUCUGGAGAUCUGUCGAGUGUUUGAAAGGACGAGUUCGUCCUGAUGCUAAAGAGAAAUAUAGCAGUCCGUUUACACCUAUUUUUCAUAAUUCGUGAAAAUAGUCGAGCCAUGACAUGUGCGUGGUAUCUCGAUAAUUUUCCCUGGUUUUGAAGAAUAUUGGAUCAGAUUUGAAGAGGCAGGCCAAGACAAUGGUAGGCUAGGCCGGUUUGAUUAAAGGCCUUCGUCAGGAAAAAGGCCCAAGGUUUCAUAUGUCCAGCCCAAUUCUUGGAGCCCAAAUGAGGAGAAGCCCAGUAAGGUGAGCCUAUGAUGGAAAUUAUAUGCAUUUACACAUGUAUAUGAAGGUGAGCUCGAGAGGGGGCAGUGAAAGAUUUUGGAUUUCCUUUGACAGCCGAGUAUUCUUGAUUAAGCAUGAAAUAUUCAUGCAAUAUCUCGUGUAAUCUCGAAUAAAUAGGUCAGAUAUAUCUCUCCGAUAUAUAGGUUGGUUAGGAGUUAAUUUCCUAUUUUGAUAUUAUCUCGAUAUCGUAUAUUGUGGCGUAGCCGAUUUCGAUAUAUUCUCCAGGGUUUCAUUAUAAACUCCUAUAUAUACGUGUCAUCUUGUUCAUUGUUAGGUCCUGCACAUCAAUUAAUCAAACACGUACUUUCAUUCUA